rnacentral:snoRNA from 1 species
UCUGGCAGUGAUGACACUCUUGCCCUNACUGAGAACACAGUUCGGAAUGAGAACCUUUACUAUGUAACUCAGAAGUGCUGAGCCAGA